CAUCAUGCCCCUUACUUGUUCUUGGGCGUACACACGUGCUACAAUGGCCGGUACAGACGGACGCAAAGCCGCGAGGUGGAGCAAAUCCUAAAAAGCCGGUCUCAGUUCGGAUUGCAGGCUGCAAUUCGCCUGCAUGAAGUCGGAAUCGCUAGUAAUCGCAGGUCAGCAUACUGCGGUGAAUACGUUCCCGGGCCUU
rnacentral:rRNA from 1 species